CCGUUUGAGAUAUCAAAAAUCCCCUGGCAAUUUUUCAUCCCCAAUGUCUUGAGAUCAUGUUCACCGAGUUUCGUGGAGAACGGGUGGAAAACCUCAGAGGAGUAUUUCAAAUUCCAGAGCAUGCUUUUUUUAAACAGCCCUGAAUAGCUCACUUCCUGUUGGGCGGAGCCUAUGACAUAGAGCGCGAAAGUUGUUCGGCUCAAUGAGAUCUAUAAGUGUACAGAGUUUCAUAUAAAUACAUGCAAGUAUGUGUGCGCUAUGGUUCAAGAUUUCUGACUGUGUUCCAGGGGGCGCCGUAGAGCCCCUGUGCCACGCCCGGGUCCCAGCCUCUGCGGCGUCCUGAUGGCCGCAGGAUCCAAUGUGUGUGCCAAUUUUCAAGAGUUUUUGAGUAUGUUAAGGCCUCCAAAAACCCCCGAAAGGUUAAAAAAAAAAUAAAAAAAAUAAUAAUAAAUAUAGCUGCAAGCAGCGAUGGCGGGCUCAAGCCAUCAGCGCAAACGCCACCCCGGUGGCAUCAGGAAAACUGUGCCCAGCGGGCACAUGCAUUUACAGUAACUCUAUGGCAGUCUGGUUUUAAGGAUUCGGCAAUUAAAGGGUUAAUCCAAACCAUCAAGACUAUGAAAGACACACACAGAGAACAAUACAUAAUACUUUAGUAACACUCUUUUAUAAGGUUUCAGUUAUUAAGAUUAACUAACAUGAACAAUAAUUAUAUUGCAUGUCAAUGUCAGUUAAUAGUCAAAACUUUAAAAAAAAAAUAUAUCUGUUAACAUUAGUUAUGCACUGUGAACUAAAAUCAACAAACAUUAAUAAAUUCUGUGAAAAUAUAUUUUUCAUGUUCAUUUACUAAUGUUUACAAAUUAGACCUUAUUAUAAAGUGUUACUAAAACCUUUAUUGAUUUACACUGUGUGCACAAUUAUUAGGCAUGUUGAUAUUCUGAUUUUUUUUUUCCAAGCACAUUUUACCAAUUCCCAAUGACAUCAAUCUUAAUAACUACCAUUAAUUUUGUAUUUAAUCAUUUAUGAGCGAUAUAUAAUUGUCCAUGAAGGCUGGAAGAGAAAAACUCCUUAUAUUCAGGUGUGCAGAAUUAUUAGGCUUUUUUUACAGAUGAAAUGAGCCAA
ensembl:lncRNA